rnacentral:lncRNA from 1 species
GUUCGUGUGUGUCUUUAUUGUUUUCAAGUGAUAUUUUGUGGGCCCCUGUACUUUCUCUGCUUUCUGUCUUUCUCGUUUCUUAGUUGGUCAAAUAGUGUUGGGUGUUUCGUGUAUGUUAUCCUUUUAUUUGUUUUUUUUGGCUAGUUAAUGGUCACCUGAUCCGGUCCAGUAUAAAAAGUCGACCUUUAUGUAUUAUUUCAAAAAAGCAAUAACUUAUGUCUCCUCCCAACAAGAAAUGGAAAAAGAGCUAGGAUACAUUUACAACAUAGGUCAACUAUAUAGCUAUAGUAGAAGAUUCUUGGAAGCGAUUUAUCAUAAAGUGCAGCAUCUACACAGGAAUAAGAAAGACACAGAGGAACUGGCUAAUCAAGAAUUUGAACCUAUACUGUAUGCAAUGAGGAGUUACAAGGUUCCUAAGAAACUAGCCAAAAAACAAAUAAAAGGAUAACAUACACAAGGGACCGACACUAUUUAACCAACUAAGAAAUGAGAAAGACAGGAAAGAAGAGAAGAGAAAGAACAGGGAAAGUACAGGGGUUUACAAAAUAUCACUUGAAAGUGAUGAGACACACAUGAAUGCAAUAUACAUAGGAGUGGCUGCGAGAACAUUGGUCCAUGGGCUGGCGGAGCACAAAAGAGAUAUGGCUGAG